CUAGAGUGNUGGAGAGGUAAGNGGAAUUCCUAGUGUAGCGGUGAAAUGCGUAGAUAUUAGGAGGAACACCAGUGGCGAAGGCGGCUUACUGGACANUAACUGACGUUGAGGCUCGAAAGCGUGGGGAGCAAACAGGAUUAGAUACCCUGGUAGUCCACGCCGUAAACGAUGACUACUAGGUGUCGGGNNGCAAAGCCNUUCNGUGCCGCAGCAAACGCAAUAAGUAUUCCACCUGGGGAGUACGUUCGCANGAAUGAAACUCAAAGGAAUUGACGGAG
rnacentral:rRNA from 1 species